CAAAUGGGGUUUUGGGGUGAAAAACGGAGGUUUUGGGGUGAACAAAUGAGAGUGGGAGAACAGGAGGAGCAGCAGCUGCUGAGGGUGGGGAAAUCCUGGGGACUGGGGGUGGAAAUGGGAUUAAAAAUGAACUUUUCCCUUUGUCCCCCGUGUGCUGCACCUGCCGCCUCCCCCAGGACAUCAAAGGCACCUUCCUCAGGUGUGAGAACAUCAAGUUCCAGGAGCCCGAGCUGGUGCCCGUGGAGCUGGGGAAGAAAUUCAGGAAUUGUUUCCUGCAGGACGUGGUGAUGAGGAAAAUGGAAAAGGUUUUCAGCAAAGUGCCCCAAGGUGGGGGCAGAAUCUGGGCUUCAAGGGGUUAAAAAUCUGGGGUUGAGCCAGUGGAAAUUUGGGGUUAAAAAUCUGAAAUUUGGGGUUAAAGGGGUGAAAAUCUAAAAUUGAAGGAGUGGAAAUUUGGGGUUAAAAAGCAGGAAAUUUGGGGUGGAUGGGAGUGGAAAUUUGGGGUUAAAGACCUGGAAAUUUGGGGUUCAAGGGGUUAAAAAUCUGGGGUUGAGGGAGUGGAAAUUUGGGGUUAAAAAUCUGAAAUUUGGGGUUAAAGUGGUGAAAAUCUGGGAUUGAAGGAGUGGAAAUUUGGGAUUAAAACCCAGGAAAUUUGGGGUUGAUGGGAGUGGAAAUUUGGGGUUAAAGGACAGGAAGUUGGGGGUUAAGGAGGUGAGAAUUUGGGUUAAAACUCAGGAAAUUUGGGGUUAAAAAUCAGGAAAUUGGGGAUUGAAGGGGUGAAAAUGUGGAAUUGAUGGAGUGGAAAUUUGGGGUUAAAAACCAGGAAAUUGGGGGUUAAAGGGAUGGGAAUGGGGGCUCAAAGAGGCGAAAAUUUGGAUUAAAAAUCAGGAAAUUGGGGCUUAAAGGGAUAGGAAAUGAGGGGUUCAGGGGGUUAAAAAUAUGGAAUUGAAGGAGUGGAAAUUUGGGGUUAAAGGGUGAAAAUCUGGAUUUAAAGGGAUGGAAAUUUGGGGUUAAAAGGCUGGGAAUUGGGGUUAAAGGGGUGGAAAUCUAGAAUUGAAAGGAGUGGAAAUUUGGUGUUAAAAAUCAAGGAAUUGGGGAUUUAAGGGAUUGGAAAUUUGGGGUUAAAGGGGUGGAAAUUUGGGAUUGAAGGAGUGGAAAUGGGGGGUUAAAGGGAUGGGAACAGGGGGUUGGAGGGGUUGGAAAUUCGGGGUUAAAGAGGUGAAAAUGUGGAGUUGAAAGGAGUGGAAAUUUGGUGUUAAAAAUGAGGAAAUUGGGGAUUGAAGGGGCUGGAAAUUGGGGGUUAAGGGGCAGGAAAUUGGGGGUUAAGGGGCUGGAAUCUAGGAUUGAAAGGGGUGGAAAUUUGGAUUUAAAAUGAGGAAAUUGGGGAUUUAGGGGAUUGGAAAUUGGGGGUUAAAGGGGUGGAAAUGGGGGGUUAAAGGGAUGGGAACAGAGAGUUGAAGGGGUGAGAAUUGGGAUUAAAAACAAGGAAAUUGGGGAUUGAAGGGGUUCAAACCUGGAGUUGAAGGGGUGGAAAUUUGGAUUAAAAAUGAGGAAAUCGGGGAUUGAAGGGGCUGGAAAUUGGGGAUUGAAGGGGCUGGAAAUGGGGGAUUGAAGGGGCUGGAAAUCGGGGGUUAAGGGGCUGGAAAUGGGGGGUUAAGGGGCUGGAAAUGGGGAGUUAAGGGGCUGGAAAUCGGGGAUUGAAGGGGCUGGAAAUCGGGGAUUGAAGGGGCUGGAAAUUGGGGAUUGAAGGGGCUGGAAAUGGGGGGGGGGGGGGGGGGGGGGGGGGGGGGGGGGGGGGGGGGGGGGGGGGGGGGGG
rnacentral:lncRNA from 12 species